rnacentral:pre_miRNA from 1 species
AAUAAAUGCAGUUUUGCACUAUUUAUGUUCAACGUUUGACCGUCCGUCUUAUUUGAAAAUUUUUUAUGAUUAGUAUUUUUAUUGCUAUUAGAUGAUAAAACAUGAAUAGUACUUUAUGUGUGACUAAAUGUUUUUAAUUUUUUCACAAAUUUUUCAAAUAAGACGGACGGUCAAACGUUGAACGUGAAUAGUGCAAAACUGCACUUAUU